GACGAACGCUGGCGGGAUGCUUUACACAUGCAAGUCGAACGGAGUGGCGGACGGGUGAGUAAUAUCUCGGAACGUGCCCAGUAGAGGGGGAUAACUACUCGAAACAGUGGCUAAUACCGCAUACUAUCGGAGCGGCCGAUAUCGGAUUAGCUGGUUGGUGGGGUAACGGCUCACCAAGGCAACGAUCCGUAGCUGGUUUGAGAGGAUGACCAGCCACACUGGGACUGAGACACGGCCCAGACUCCUACGGGAGGCAGCAGUGGGGAAUUUUGGACAAUGGGGGAAACCCAGAUCCAGCCAUCCCGCGUGUAUGAUGAAGGCCUUCGGGUUGUAAAGUACUUUCAGCAGGGAAGCGUUAUCUGCAGAAUAAGCACCGGCUAACUACGUGCCAGCAGCCGCGGUAAUAC
rnacentral:rRNA from 1 species